CCUUACCAGGUCUUGACAUCCUCUGACCACCCGGGAGACAGGGCUUUUCCCUUGGGGGGACAGAGUGACAGGUGGUGCAUGGUUGUCGUCAGCUCGUGUCGUGAGAUGUUGGGUUAAGUCCCGCAACGAGCGCAACCCUUGAUCUUAGUUGCCAGCAUUCAGUUGGGCACUGUAAGGUGACUGCCGGUGACAAACCGGAGGAAGGUGGGGAUGACGUCAAAUCAUCAUGCCCCUUAUGACCUGGGCUACACACAUGCUACAAUAGACGGUACAGAGGGCUGCAAACCCGCAGGCAAGCCCUCCCAGAAACCUUCCCAAUUCGGAUUUCAGACUCAACUACAUCAUUACCGUUACGCCGCACUCACUUGUCAGCGCCCUCU
rnacentral:rRNA from 1 species